rnacentral:pre_miRNA from 1 species
UUUCUACUCCCUCCGUCCGAAAAUACUUGUCAUCAAAAUGGAUAAAAAGAGAUGUAUCUAAAACUAAAAUACGUCUAGAUACAUUUCCUUUUAUCCAUUUUGAUGACAAGUAUUUCCGGACGGAGCGAGUAUUUG